rnacentral:rRNA from 1 species
ACUGACGCUGAGGCACGAAAGCGUGGGUAGCAAACAGGAUUAGAUACCCUGGUAGUCCACGCUGUAAACGAUGAUUACUAGGUGUGGGGGGACUGACCCCUUCCGUGCCGGAGUUAACACAAUAAGUAAUCCACCUGGGGAGUACGGCCGCAAGGUUGAAACUCAAAGGAAUUGACGGGGGCCCGCACAAGCAGUGGAGUAUGUGGUUUAAUUCGAAGCAACGCGAAGAACCUUACCAGGUCUCGACAUCCAACUAACGAAGUAGAGAUACAUCAGGUGCCCUUCGGGGAAAGUUGAGACAGGUGGUGCAUGGUUGUCGUCAGCUCGUGUCGUGAGAUGUUGGGUUAAGUCCCGCAACGAGCGCAACCCUUGCUAUUAGUUGCUACGCAAGAGCACUCUAAUAGGACUGCCGUUGACAAAACGGAGGAAGGUGGGGACGACGUCAAAUCAUCAUGCCCCUUAUGACCUGGGCUACACACGUACUACAAUGGCCAUCAACAGAGGGAAGCAAAACAGCGAUGUGGAGCAAACCCCUAAAAAUGGUCUCAGUUCAGAUUGCAGGCUGCAACCCGCCUGCAUGAAGUCGGAAUUGCUAGUAAUC